CCUCUUCAGUCGAACUUGAUGGUACCCUAGAGAAUGUGGUCGAUUUGUACUCGAGCUCUUUGGAGGGCAGUAUAGAUUGGGCGCUAUUGUUUUUGAUCUUCACCAUGGCAGGUUGGCAAGACAGCUCCAAUGACAAUGCUUGGGGAGAGUUCUACGGUCCUUGGGAUGCUUCACUUCUCCCCGAGGUGACUGGAGAGGAAGUCGUU
rnacentral:lncRNA from 1 species